AAGCCAUGGGACUGGAAGGCAGCAGGCAGAUGUCAGGGUUGGGGAUUACUGGCUCAGAAGCAGGUAUCAUAGCAGAAGCCCAAGUCUCUUCCAAGUCACAGGGCUAGGAACCAAGAUAUCAGCAGGGGAAGCAGGGGGUGGAGGGGGUAUAAAAAUGACCCAACUACAACCACCAAUACUACCAUUUACUGAGGCUUCGCCAUGCAGCAGGCACCCUGAAAAGUGUUUUGUUUGCAUUAUCUUAGUCAGUCCUCCUAGCAGCCUGAUUAGUAGAAGUUGUUACAGAAACACAGAUGAAACCAUGGGUUAGAAAGAGGUUGAGUGCUAGAGAAUCUUAUGGCUGCAAAAUGAGUAAGCAGAGACUUCAACCACUGUCUUCUGACUCACAGCCCAAGGGAAAGACCAGGCAAGAGUAGGGGUGAAGAAAUCUCAUGUAGAAGCCCAGAACUUUCAAGAGAUAAGAAGUAGAGAGAUUCUGGUUUAAAGAGAGAUGACAGAAGCCCUGAAUGUCCUCUCUUCUGCUCCCCCAGAUACCUUCAUGGACUACAGGGCUGUACAUACGGUUAGACUCCUUGACCUCAAUGUGAAUGUCUAAAGACUCCAAGCAUCCUAACUCCAAUUAGAAAUCCAGCAGCAAUGUAUUACCAUGCAGUUGUCUAAAACCUUAAAAAAAAAAGCUAUUUAAAUUGUCCAUCUUUUCA
rnacentral:lncRNA from 1 species